UACGAAGGUCCCGAGCGUUGUUCGGAUUUACUGGGCGUAAAGAGUCUGUAGGCGGUAAAGUCAGUCAGAUGUGAAAUCCCGGGGCUCAACCCCGGAACUGCAUCCGAUACUGCUUUGCUAAGAGUAUUGGAGGGGAAUCUGGAAUUCUCGGUGUAGCAGUGAAAUGCGUGGAUAUCGAGAGGAACACUAGUGGCGAAGGCGAGAUUCUGGACAAUUACUGACGCUGAGAGACGAAGGCCAGGGGAGCAAAAAGG
rnacentral:rRNA from 1 species